AAUAGUGUUAAUUUUUUUCUUUUUGUCUGUUUAUAUAUUAACUUCCUCAAGGGUGGGGAAAAUGUUACUGUGGCCCAUUACAUGGUGAGCCAGAGAGGAACAGGCCGACAUUCCCACAUCACUGGACGCAGUGUACAUAAUCAAAGAAUUGAAAGAUUAUGGCGAGAUGUGUAUGGAAAUGUCCUUGACUUGUUCCACACACUAUUUCUCAAUUUGGAAGUGGAAGGGUUUCUAAACCCUGAAAAUGAACUGGAGUUAUUCAUUCUCCACUGGACCUACGUCCCACAGCUGCAGCAGCAUCUUCAGGCAUUCAAGGAAGCCUGGACUCACCACAGUUUGAGGACAAAGAGAGGGCAAUCCCCCAUGCAACUGUGGCUUAGUCAGCCACGUGAGGGAAAUGCUGCUGAUCCAGUUGAGGUUGCUGCUGAUUAUGGGAUAGACUGGACAGGACCUCACACCCCAUACCCAGAAGGCGUCACUCUACCUGAUGCACAACUACCCCGGCAGCUUACACAGGCUGAAGUUACAUCAUUGCCUGAUCCGGCCGUCCCUUUUUCUGCUGCACUACGGGCAUACAUGGAUACAGUGUAAAUUCUUAAGGACAUUUUUCAACAAACCUAGACAUAUCACAACUCACCUUAACAGAAUCAGAAUGAAACGAACAAGACUCAAAAGAAUGCUGCAAAUUUUUGUUGCAUAAGUUGUGAAUUUCAAAUAAAUGCCUUUGAAAACAACAAUGUACAAAGACACAGUAAAGGGAUAUAAAACUGCUUUUAUUGCAUGCUGAAUAGUUUGACAGCUUUUAAAAGCAUUAGAACAAUGUGCCAAUAAAAAGGUUUUUUAAUAGAACUGACAAUUCUUUUCUUUAACUUCCAAACAUUACAACUGCUCUCCAAAGACAGUCUUCCACAAGUGUGGAAACAUUUUGUUGUCGCAGAAAUGCACAAACCUGAACCAUCGUUUUUGAAUCUUUCACAUAAAAAUAAGCUAUUUCAUUAAUUCACUCUCUCAACUCUCACCUUUAAACGGUCUUCUUACAACAACUCACAGGCUGCCACAUUUCUGUUACAUGUUAAAUGUCACACACAACAAUUUGAGCCUGACAGCAGCAAAAACAAGAACUGUUGUUCUGAAGCAUGUAUUAGCCUCACAAGCUUACAUCACAUCAGAGCAAUUGUCAAAACUACACAUAUCUGUUUUAACAUUUUAUGUGUUUUGGUAGCAUUAUUUGGACUCUCACACAACAUACGAGAUGGUAAGCCAUACUGAGCAACAGCUGACCUGAACAGUGGUGGAUUUGUUGUUUGUAGCUGCUCCUAUGUAAACUAUGAGCCUGCUAAAUCCAUCCACUCCUGCAUGGAUCACGAUUUGCCGUAUAU